GAUGAACGCUAGCGGGAGGCCUAAUACAUGCAAGUCGAGCGGUAGAGUGACUUCGGUUGCUUGAGAGCGGCGAACGGGUGAGUAACGCGUACACAAUCUACCUUUAAGAGGGGAAUAGCCCUGGGAAACUGGGAUUAAUGCCCCAUGGCAUCACGAGACGGCAUCGUUUUGUGAUUAAAGCUGAGGUGCUUAGAGAUGAGUGUGCGUCUGAUUAGCUAGUUGGUGCGGUAACGGCGCACCAAGGCGACGAUCAGUAGGGGGCGUGAGAGCGUGGACCCCCACACGGGUACUGAGACACGGACCCGACUCCUACGGGAGGCAGCAGUAAGGAAUAUUGGUCAAUGGAGGAAACUCUGAACCAGCCAUCCCGCGUGCAGGAAGAAUGCCCUAUGGGUUGUAAACUACUUUUAUUGGGGAAGAAACCCUUCUACGUGUAGAAGGCUGACGGUACCCAAGGAAUAAGGACCGGCUAACUCCGUGCCAGCAGCCGCGGUAAAGUCUAGCA
rnacentral:rRNA from 1 species